UGUUUCAGCCUUCAGUAACUACAGCUGAGACAGAGCUCAGGGAAAGCAGGGGAAGGGAGAACAGACAGAAGGGCCUGAGGAAAGUAGAAAAGAAAAAGAGGAACUAAAGCAUUCGAUGAACUGAGUGGAGAAAAAUGAAAGCAGGUUUAGGGGUGGCAGGAGGUUUAAAAGCAAAUUUACAUCAAUGAGGGCUGGGAAAAGUAAAGUCAAGCUGAGAGGCUGGGCCAGUCCCACAGGGCAGGGCAGGUUCUGAGCCUCACAUGGAGGUUAGCACUUAAAUACACGUUAAAAUACAGUCUUUAAACCAAACAUGAACCUGCAGCAAGCUUGUUGGGCUGCAGGCAGUGAGGGGAAGUGUAAGCAAAGCUACAGCUGGGACAGGGAGAAGGACAGGAGGCUGCUGCCUCCCUCAGCCUCACCUCGGCGCUCCUUGGUGGGCCAUGAGCCGCUUCAGUCCCUGGCCACAGUCCGGGCAUGGUCAUGGAGCUCCGCGAGCCACAGGACACCUCUGUGAGGGUGACACACCGCAUCCUGUCCGACAGCCUCAUCCCACGACGAGUUCGUCACACCAGAAUCACUGAAUAAUAGGUUGGGAAGAGAUCACCCAAUCCAACCCCCUGCCCAGGCAGGGUCACCUGGAGCAGGUGACACAAGAAGGCGUCCACAUGGGUUUGGAAUGUCUCCAGAGAGGCAGACUCCAGGCCCUCCCUGGGCAGCUGUUCCAGUGCUCUGCCACUUUCCAUGGAAAAAACUCCUUCCUCAUGUUGAGAUGGAACCUCUUGUGUUUCAUUUUACGGCCUCUCUUUCUUUUCCUAUUAUUGUGCACCACUGAAAAGAGCCUGGCACCAUCCUCUGACAUCCCUUGGAGACAUUUAUGCAUCAAUGAGAUCGCCUCUCAGUCUUCAGUAGACUAAACAGGACCAGCUCCCUUAGUGUCUCCUCAUAAGGAAGUUGCUUCAGACUUCUCUUUAUCUUUGUGGCCUCCUCUGGUCCCUCCAGAUACGGCCUCACUUGCGCCGAGAUUAUUAUUAUUAUUAUUAUUAUUAUUAUUAUUAUUAUUACUACUCAGUUUUCAAUGAGGCUAGCCCUCUGUCAUGUCUCUUUUCCCACAUUAGCACACAGGAUCACCCAAGAGGUUUAAAACCCAGGCAGUCCUCACAGAGAAGUUUAUUUUGUAGGUUAUUUUAGGUAGCCAGGCCAACCGUGCAGGAGGAAUUCCAGACACACACUCCCUGUUUUUUCCUGGAGCAAUGCAAUGACUCGUGUCCUGCAGUCAUAGGUUCCCCUGCCUUUCACUGAAGGGAAUCCAGCUCCAGGGGCCAUGUGCCAGCCCAGUUCCAUGGAGAGGGACCGGCCUUUCUCCAAAGGCUGUGGUAACCUCUGCUGGCAGCUCCUGGCUGCUACACCGGCUAAGAUGUUACUAGAGGUGAGCUUGUAGUUAAACAGACAAAAAGACAUCAGAAAAGGCAUUUCACAUUUGAUUACUCAUACUUUUUGGUAUGCAUUUGCUACUACAGAGGAUUGGAACUUUUAAUUUGAAUGUGUAUUUUUAAAGCAUCGGUGAUUUAGAUAAAUUAGGACCCUGUUCAUCCAAGUAUGAACAUGUUUAUUUCCUCAGACAGUGCAGUUUUUAUUACCAAGCAGGUCUGUAACUGUAGUUUGCAGAUAAUCUACAUUAUUCUGUUUGAAGAUGUGGAUACACCAUCGAGUGUCAUCUGACAUACCUGAGGGAUGCAUUUUAUGCAUAGGAUAAUGUCAAUGAUGCCACCUUUUUUUCAGUGUUUAAGCAAAUAUGUCACACUUGUGACUUAUGAGCAACCCUGUCCCACUUCUUCAAAUGGUGCUAUUUCAUAUCUGUGUAAAACAGGUACUAUUCACAUCAAUAGGUACAUUAAAGGCUCCAGGUGAGGCCAUGGUCAUAAGUUUUUGGAAUUACAGAUGUUGUCUUUUUGCUCUGAGAAGUUUAAAAUCCAAACAGAUUUUGGGCAGAACAGGAACAAAAUGCAGGCAACAGAUAUAGGAUUCCAACUGACCUGGAUUCCUAUUAGUCUGCCUUACUCUGGAGGUGCAUGCAGAGAGAUGGAAUACACACGGGAUAAAUGAGAGCUGGGUUUUACUGGAAGCUUCUAUCACAUUGGCAAGAAAUCAGGUGCUAGCCUUCAUUUCAACUAUUACCAGUAGAAACAGAUUGUCACCUCAUCCAUGGAAAACUUAACACUUGCCUCCCAUUCUAUUUGCAACUAUAGUCUGUGGUCUUCGAUCUCCUUAAUUGAAAUACUUAAUAGAAAAGCUUCUAUGAGGCAAGAUUUCAGCCAGAAUUAAUUUCAUUUUCUCUACUCUGCAGGUUUCUGGUUUUUUACCAUAGCUGAAACAGCAGCCCACAGCAACAAACAUGCUUCAAUCUAAAGGCAUCUUGAGAAUUCCUGCUUAAGAUAUAUGCAUCUACUCUACCAAAACCAUGAUUUCUAAGAAAAAUCUGUGGCCACACAACUGCCUCAAAAUGGAAAACAUCGUGUAGACAAUGUGCAUGUUGUUACAAGUCAGACCUUAAUUGACCAAAAAUAUUAGAUAGAGCUGUCUGUUUAAUUAGACACGGAUCAAAAAUGAAGAACUAAGUACUUUCCCAUCAUUCUCUGCAGGUUUUGAAGUUGGCAUUUCCCCUCUCUGCAUAUAGUUAGUUGUUUGCCUCGGGUUGUAAAGAAAUGCAGAGGGCUGUUAUUAAAGCACUGAUAAUUUGCUGAACUCCUUCUUUUGUGGAACUUGCUGAGUUAGAAAAUUCCUUUUCACCUCCUCCCCCACCCCUCCUUGACUAGAAUUGAACUGAAGAACAAAUAUCACAUUAUAGUGCUAGGUAAAAGGAUCAACUGUGUUUGCAGUUAAGUGACUAGCACAAGACAGAACAAAUCCUACAGCUCAAACCUGUCCAGCUAAAUGAUGAGAGAAAUAAAGAAAGCAUUUGCUUUUUAAAAGAAUAUCAGAACAAAGACUCAUGUUUAGGAUUUGCUGUGCUUUAGUUCUUUAUAUUCAGAAAUUGACUCCCACUUUAGUUUGUUAGAAAGUUUUACAACCCUGAAGAUAAAGAAUUGCCACUGCAAUGAGAGAGAUUCUGAGAAUGCAGAAAACACAACUGAUGAGGCCAACUCAUCAACUGUUCAGUGGCGGCCUCAGCUCAGAGGUCUGCAUUUCAGCACUCCAGCCCCUGACAGGAAGGAUUUUUAUCCAGUUCUCCAUGUAGCAUUCUAGUGAAGCUAUAGUGGGCUCUUUCAAGGCCAGUGGCUCAAGUUAAAAUUCAGCCAAGCUGGCAGUUAGAACCUUCCCUUUCUGCCACAGAUAGCUGUUUCCAAAUUGCUACAACUAAAUUCUAUAUCUGUUCCUCAUUACAUGUCAACUGCUACCAUUUUUCACUAGCAUUAAUAUUCUUGUAAACUACAGAGAUCAGGCAGUACAGAACCCAUCCAAUUAUCCCCAGCAUUGACCUCAGUGCAGAUAAGCAGAGCUACUUCUCCAUCAGGUGCUCUCAUUAAAUCUGCUGCCAAACACACAUCAACCAGCCCAGUCUUUCAGCUGACAAAUAAAAAGGAGAUGUCAGACACCCACAGAAUCACCAGGCUUUUUGCAAGAGGGAUGGACAUCACUUAAACCACACAGAAGUAUUAUCAGGAAGCACAGAUUUUGACAUUUCUCAUUAUAUCUUCCCAACAUGAAGCAAUCAUUUGCAUUCUUUCCCCUGCUUGAUCCACUUUUUCAAAGGGUCUGAUCUUUCUGUUAAUCAUUGAUAGAAGCAUGCUCUUGUCUUAUAUUAAAAUGAAAUAGAUUUUCUGUUUGCCCCUACUUGCUUGCCUUUUUUAUACAUAUUCAAGUUCUUCUCUGCUCUGUGGCAUUCUUCAAACUUACAUUUUGGUACAGCUGCUUUGUAGUUCAAAGAAAGACAUAAGAAGAGGCAAUAUUUUGGAACACUAAUUUUUAAGUAUUUAACAUGUACAGACACUGGUUGAACAGCACAACCAAGGAAGGAGGAUGUAGUUUCUGUUGCAUUGAAUGGACAAAGAUCGCAAUGCACUUCUGAACACAUUCUGUUUCUCUAGCAGAGAAAAGGGCCAGGAAGUCCCACAAAGUUGUCCAAAUCACAUUGGUUCUUAUGACUUCUUUCAAUUACUAUUUCACACAGUGGUAUCACCUGCUAAGGAAUUAAUACCAAGUUGGAAAAAAAAGCAAGACCAAGCCAGCAGCAUCUUGACCUCAUGAGCCAUGGCGCAAACGCAUGAAGUGCUGGAAUAUGUCUCAGCGGGAAUGAUAUGAUAGACCAAGCUGAUGGCCUUCCCUAGGGAAAAUUAUUAUGAAGUGCUGAAAAGGGGUGAAGAAUCUGUUUAACACUGAAAAGAGAAGCAACCUCUGCUACCCUCUGAAGACAGCAUUUCACACUGCAUCCUCACCCUGCUGCAGCAGUCUGCUGCAGCAAGUUGCCAUAAGAUGGCAGCAAAGGGGAGACAGAUUUUCAGUUGGAUAAACUGCUAAGGCUAAAGCUCUCAAGCUUUUGGAAAAACAAGAUUUCCAAGACAAUCUGCUGAUGCAACCACUAUUUCACUUGAUGACUUCUGGGAAAGAACAACUAAAACAAUGCAAGUGGAUUUUAUCUGAUGACUGGUACUACUUAUUUAUAUCAUUUCUGAUAGCAAUAGCAUUCUACAGAUCUUUUGCAGCAGAAUACUCCACCAUUUAUUUUUUUAGUGGUUUUUAUCUUCAACACCUCUGUAGACAUACUUUCAUCUAUAUUUUUAUUUAAUUUUUUUAUUUUAUGCAGUUUAGGCAAGCAUACACAAAGUCAAAUCUAUGGGGGAGAUGAAUGGGACAAAACCAAGAGAAAUGAGGCUCUGCAUAUAGACAGGAAAAACACAGUUUAGUCUGGCACUUAGACUUUGCAGGGGGAGCAGAAAUUUAGUCAGCAUUUUACAAGUCCUCUUCCCACCUUUUCUGUGUUAUAUGGUCUUUAGAGGGAGAGCGUUGAAAUUGCAGCCUUAGAGAGCUAGAAGCAACUGUGGGACAACCAAGGCUGUGGUAGUCAUU